CCCGCCAAUGACCUCGGCUUGGAGGGGGCGGAGCCGUCCAAUCCGCGGUAGCGAGGCCCGGCCCGGCCCCGAGAGCGAGCCAAUGGGAAGCGACUCCGGCGGGGGCUCCCGCCCCGUCCCCUAGGGACCGGCUCUGCAGAGCCCCGGGGGGCCUGACCCCGCCGGGCGCUAGUCUGGUCCAGGGGACGGUGUCGCAAAGUCGAUGUGGUGCCUAAAUUGCGGGGAUCAGAGGAGCUGACGUCAACGAGAUCGCCGGACACACUUUGGUAGGUCGUCAAAAUCCCUACCCUCCACUUCAGAGCCUUUCCUGGCCAAAGUCUGCGCCUGAAAGUGGCCGAAGACGUCUAACACUGUGAAGUGUCCAAGCAGUGAGCGAGGCCUUCCCAGCUGGGCCGCCGCUUCACAGCUCGUCCAAGGGCAUCUUCGCUCCUCAGCACGGUGAGCAGGCCGGAUCCGAAGCGCAGAUGAGAAAAACUAUAAGAAGCCCUCCUAAGACCUCACAGGAAGUAUAUGGUGGAGUCAGAAGUCACAUGCACACAGGCCAACACCCCACCAAGCCAUCCUGUCUGCAAAUUCAGCCUCAAAAAUGGGAAGCGUCUUGAAAAGAAGCACAAGUGUCAGAGUGGCCAGCUGGCAGCGGGAAAUUCCAGUCCGAUUGUGCGUCCCCUUGUGAGCUUUUCAUUGUAGUUGUUCUUUGGCACACUCGAGUCAAAAGCUCAGCUGGCUAUCUGCUUUUUGGGGGAUGAAAACUGCAAUAUUCCAAACGUCCAAACACAGCUAACGAGACAUGGGCUGCGUGGAUUUUGAAAAAACGGUCGUAAGUGAAAACAUUGUAAGAAAGUGUUUGGGGCAUAGGUUGUUGGGAAAUAAAGUUGCAAGAAUAAGAAAACAAUCUAUUCUGUGGUUUUGGGCUGCCAGAGGGCUACAGGCUGGGGAACAAGCCCCAAACAUAGCUUAUUGUACCACAACCAUACUCAGCACUGUUCCGUGGCUCUGUGGGAUCUGGAGAAGAAACUCAGCAUGUCCUUUGUCACUUGAAGCACUCCACACUCUGGCUUUUACAGCCUUCUAUCUGGUUUCUUUCUCAGACAUGCUGGACUGGUCUUCAGAGUCUCCACACUUACUUCCUGCGGGGUCUGCCCAUGACACACAUUCUGAUUGGGCAAUGCUCAUGCUUUGAGAGGUGUUAAAUCCUUUUAAUCUCACUCCAGAGAGAAACCCUACUCAUUUCUUCCACUAGACUUUAUAUUUCUUAAAAUCAUUGGAUCUUUCCUACUCCAUUUUAUAUUUACGAUAAGUUCUAGCACUCUUUGGGCUGCAAUAAACACUAAAUAAAUUUUUGAUAUGAAUUGAAGAAUCGUAAUUAUUGGGAAAAUAUAUUUAUCUGCUUCUUAUCAUUCCUUGAGAAGGGAAACCAGCUGUGGGUGAGCCUCAGGGGAGGGGAAAAGAGGAAUGUUAUCUUGAGAAGGAGGAGGCACGUGUAUGUCAUCCAAUCCUCCUGGCAUAGAAAUUCCAGUAGCUGUGCGAGAAUAGGGAGAAACCAUGAUAUCAUUCUGUUUUUCAGUGGGGAGGGAGAAGAGAGAACUGGAUUUCAGACAGGGAAAAAUAAGUCAGUAUAUGGGAUCCAAAGAAAAAUAUGGGGAUUCUAUGAUUGAGAAAUACCAUAGUUAGAAGUUUAAUAAUCAAGAACAUGCUAGAAGCCACUGUUCUAACUUCCGAGGAAAUAAACACACUAAUAUUUAUUACAUGAUUACUGAUGUCUACCAGAAAGAUUUAAAAAAUAAAACUUAGACUUCAGUGUCAAGCUGAUUGGACUCAAAUUCUUGUUCCACCACUCAUUAUACUACUUACUUCAUUGGAUGGUCAAAUGGGUGAUAAAAUAAAUAAAUAAAUACUUAUAAAGUACUAGGAGUACACAAGGAGGUACAUAGCAAAUAGCAUAAGUAUGUAUUAAGUUGAAAUGUGAACACACUAUUUCCCAGAAAACCUUGUUUAUUUGAUAGUUUUGCAUACUUCAUUGUGAUUUUAUAACUUCAAAACUAGUAGCAAUAAAAGCUAAAUAUAUGAUAUAUAUCAUAUAUAUAUAUAUGUGUAUGUGUGGGUGUGUUUUUCUAUGACUCAGAAAUUACCUUCUUAGGCAAAUACUCAACAGAAAUGUUUAUGUAUAGUCACCAAAUAUACACUCUAGAAUGUUCAUAAUAGUGCUGUCAUGGUAGCUCCAAACCAGAAACUACCCAAAUACCCCUAGCACUAAAAAAAUGAAAGAAAUUGAUGUACAUUCACACAUGACAUGCCAAACAGCAUUGAAAACAAAAAAUCUACCACUACUUGUGGCAAUAUUCACAAUAAAGAAUCUCACAAAUUCGUUAAGUAAAAAACAACCAAACACACAGGAUAAUAUGAACUAUAUGAUCCCAUUUAUAUAAAGUACAAAAGUAGGCAAAAAUAACCCGUGCUAUUAGAAGUCCGGGUAGUUGUUACCCUUUGUACAUGACCGAAUCUCAAUGCAUUUUUAUUAGUAUGUGGUUGCAUUACAUAAUGACCGCACUCCUUGUGUGGAGUCAGUAUGUGUGCAUAACACAUCUUAAUUCCUUGUUUCAUCCUCUUUCCCACCUCCCCUCUCCCUCCAUCUCUGAUCCCUUUCUCAUUUGAUACAGAUAUAUCUCCCUACUUCCUAUUAUCUACCUUUUAUUUUGUCCUUUAUAAUUUACAUUUCUUAUGUUCGAGAAACCAUGUGAUAUUUAAGUUUGUGUGUCUGUUUCAUUUCACUUAACAUUAUAGUCUCAAGGUGCAUCCGAUUUUCCUACAAAUGACACAAGUUUCUUUCAUUAUGCCAGAAUAGUACUCUGUUGUGUAUAAAUACACUUUCUUUGUACACUCAGGUAUUGAUGGGAAAAUAGGCUGCUUCCAAGAAUUAGCUCUUAUGAAUUGUGCUGCUAUAAACAUGGGUAUGCAUGCAUCACUGUAAUAUGAUGUCUUUAACUAUUUUGGGGAAAAUCUGGGGAAUAGCUGAGUCAAAUGGAAUUUAUAGGUUUAGUUUUUUUGAGGAUUCUUCAUACUAGCUUCCAUAGUGGUUGUACUAGUUUACUUUCUGACCAUCAGUG
ensembl:lncRNA